rnacentral:rRNA from 1 species
GACGAACGCUGGCGGCGUGCUUAACACAUGCAAGUCGAACGAAAAGGCCCCUUUGGGGGUACUCGAGUGUCGAACGGGGGAGUAACACGUAAGUAACCUUCCCUUGACUUCGGGACAACUUCAGGUAACUGGGGCUAAUACCGGAUAGGAAUCCUUGCUGCAUGGGGGGGGUUGGAAAGCUUCGGCGGUUUUGGAUGGAUUCGCGGCUUAUCCGCUUGUUGGUGGGGUAGUGGCUUACCAAGGCUUUUACGGGUAGCCGGCCUGUGUGGGCGACCGGCCAUAUUGAGACUGAGGUACGGCACAGAUUGCGACGGGAGGCAGCAGGGCGGAAUAUUGCAGAAGGGGCGCAAGCCUGAUGCAGAAGCGCCGCGUGCGGGAUGACGGCCUUAGGGUUGAAAACCGCUUUCAGCAGGAGCGAAGCAUGUGGUGACGGUACCUGCAGAAGAAGCACCGGCUAACUACGUG